UACGUAGGGUGCAAGCGUUGUCCGGAAUUAUUGGGCGUAAAGCGCUCGUAGGCGGUCUGUCACGUCGGCUGUGAAAACCCGAGGCUCAACCUGGGGCCUGCAGUCGAUACGGGCAAACUAGAGUGUUGCAGGGGGGUGUGGAAUUCCUGGUGUAGCGGUGAAAUGCGCAGAUAUCAGGAGGAACACCAGUGGCGAAGGCGGGUCUCUGGGCAACAACUGACGCUGAGGAGCGAAAGCGUGGGGAGCGAACAGG
rnacentral:rRNA from 1 species